GCUCCUGUCAUACAGUGGCCAAGUAUGCAGCCUUCUCAAGGCUGUCACCCGGGUUCAAAUCCCGGCAGGAGCA
rnacentral:tRNA from 1 species